rnacentral:rRNA from 1 species
GAACGUCGUGAGACAGUUCGGUCUCUAUCUGUUGUGGGCGUUAGAAAUUUGAGAGGACCUAUCUUUAGUACGAGAGGACCGAGAUGGACAGACCUCUAGUGUACCUGUUGUGGCGCCAGCUGCAUCGCAGGGUAGCUAUGUUCGGAUGAGAUAAGCGCUGAAAGCAUCUAAGCACGAAACUCGCCUCAAGAUUAGAUUUCUUUUAAGGGUCGUUAGAGACGAUGACGUUGAUAGGUUGCACGUGUAAAGGC